AUUGAACGCUGGCGGCAUGCCUUACACAUGCAAGUCGAACGGUAACGGGCCUUCGGGUGCCGACGAGUGGCGAACGGGUGAGUAAUGCAUCGGAACGUACCUUUCAGUGGGGGAUAACGUAGCGAAAGUUACGCUAAUACCGCAUAUUCUGUACGCAGGAAAGCAGGGGAUCGCAAGACCUUGCGCUGAUUGAGCGGCCGAUGUCAGAUUAGCUAGUUGGUGAGGUAAAGGCUCACCAAGGCGACGAUCUGUACGGGGUCUGAGAGGAAUGAUCCGCCACACUGGAACUGAGACACGGUCCAGACUCCUACGGGAGGCAGCAGUGGGGAAUUUUGGACAAUGGGGGCAACCCUGAUCCAGCCAUGCCGCGUGAGUGAAGAAGGCCUUCGGGUUGUAAAGCUCUUUCGGCCGGGAAGAAAUCGCAUGGGCUAAUACCCUGUGCGGAUGACGGUACCGGCAUAAGAAGCACCGGCUAACUACGUG
rnacentral:rRNA from 1 species